UACGAAGGGAGCUAGCGUUGUUCGGAAUUACUGGGCGUAAAGGGCGCGUAGGCGGUUUGACAAGUUGGGUGUGAAAGCCCAGGGCUCAACCCUGGAACUGCACUCAAAACUGUCUUACUUGAAUUCGGUAGAGGUUGGUGGAAUUCCCAGUGUAGAGGUGAAAUUCGUAGAUAUUGGGAAGAAUAUCCGUGGCGAAGGCGGCCAACUGGACCGACAUUGACGCUGAGGCGCGAAAGCGUGGGGAGCAAACAGG
rnacentral:rRNA from 1 species